AGCUCUGGUGAAUAGACAAUAGCCCUGGGAAUAGCACGCUCCCGAACAAUGAGCAGCCUGCAUAUGUGUGCGGGAGGUUUGAGGUGUGUUAAGCAACGGUGUCCCCACGCUUUAGGACUGGAGCGCGUCCGGCAGGGGGGAGAGGGACGUGCGCGAUUCCCACUCCGAGAUAUCCUGUCAUCUGCGGUUCUUUGAAGUAGACAGUGCCAUGAACCACGUCUGGGUCACUACCUCAUGGAGAGUCGGAACAACUCCCCUCUGAAGGAAAUGGCUUUUCGCUGAAGUUAUUUAACGUCUGAAUUACUGCUGGACUCAAGUUUCGCACAUUCUGGAGGACUCAGGUGCAAGGGAGAGCCUCCACCUUGCUUUCUGCCAGCAAGGAGUUAACUCUACCACUCACGGGACUGCUAGGGCUUGGGUUUAGAGUGGCUGGCAUACCUUCCUUACCCCAGUCUGAAGAAAUGACAGCAGUUUGACUACACAAGGAGGUCCAGAUAUUGUUAUGGUUUUUGUGCCCUCCAGUUUGGGACUAAGUCAUACAGGACCAAAAAGCAGUACAGUAUCUGGGGCCCGGGCAGAAUCCCCCUCCACGCGAAUUUCCAAGAACAGAAAUCCUGUUAGUUUUCAUUCUUCAGUACAUAGAAGCAAUUAAAAAAACGCCUUAUACAAUGCUGGAGCCACUCCAAAAGUU